rnacentral:rRNA from 1 species
GAUAAACGCUAGCUACAGGCUUAACACAUGCAAGUCGAGGGACCGGCGCACGGGUGAGUCACACGUAACCAACCUGCCCUUUACUCGGGGAUAGCCUUUCGAAAGAAAGAUUAAUACCCGAUAUAAAGGAUGGGGAUGCGUGCCAUUAGGUUGUUGGUGAGGUAACGGCACACCAAGCCUUCGAUGGAUAGGGGUUCGGUGAGGAAGGUCCCCCACAUUGGAACAGAGACACGGUCCAAACGCGUACCGGAGGCAGCAGUGAUGAAGAAUGGUCAAUGGGCGCUAGCCUGAACCAGCCAAGUAGCGUGAAGGAUGUAGGCUUAUGGGUCGUAAUCUUCAUUUAUAUAAGAAUAGGUAUUUAAUGAAUAAGGAUCGGCUAACUCCGUGCCAGCAGCCGCGGUAAUAC